AGUUGCUGGCUUGUGUUAUUAGAUGAUUUCUAAUAAAAAAAGAAAUCAUCUAAUAACACAAGCCAGCAACU